GCUGUAUCUCAGUGGGAGAACAUCUACAUCACAAGCAAAAGGCGCCAGGUUCAAUCCCUGGCAUCUCCA